ACCUAGUUGACGAGUUUUAAAUGGGACGAAACGCGUGUCCUGGAU
rnacentral:hammerhead_ribozyme from 1 species